UGUGUUUACAUUUAUUAUACCCCACGCAACGAGUUGCGGAGGGUAUAAUGUUUUUGACCCGUCCGUCCGUCCGUCAGUCCUGUUUCUUGUCAUCGCAACUCCUCUCAAACCACACAACAGAAUUUCACGAAACCUUUUCAGAUAAUAAGGACAUACUAUGUAGUUGUGCAUAUCGACGGGAAAUUGCGAUUCAAUUUUUUUUUCUAGGAGUUACGCCCCUUUGAACUUAUUUACUUUAAUGUACUACUGCAACAGUUUGUCAUCGCAACUCCUCUCAAACCACACAACAGAAUUUCACGAAACCUUUUAAGAUAAGGACAUACUAUGUAGUUGUGCAUAUCGACGGGAAAUUGCGAUUCAAUUUUUUUCUAGGAGUUAUGCCCCUUUGAACUUAUUUACUUUAAUGUACUGCUGCAACAGUUUGUCAUCGCAACUCCUCUCAAACCACACAACAGAAUUUCACGAAACCUUUUCAGAUAAUAAGGACAUACUAUGUAGUUGUGCAUAUCGAAGGGAAAUUGCGAUUCAAUUUUUUUUCUAGGAGUUACGCCCCUUUGAACUUAUUUACUUUAAUGUACUACUGCAACAGUUUGUCAUCGCAACUCCUCUCAAACCACACAACAGAAUUUCAUGAAACCUUUUAAGAUAAUAAGGACAUACUAUGUAGAUGUGCAUAUCGACAGGAAAUUACGAUUCAAUUUUUUUUCUAGGAGUUACAUCUCUUUGAACUUAUUUGCUUUAAGGUACUACUUCAACAGUUUGUCAUCUCAACUCCUCUGAAACCACACUACAGAAUUUCAUGAACAUUUGUAGAUAAUAAGGACAUACUAUGUAGAUGUGCAUAUCGACAGGAAAUUACGAUUCAAUUUUUUUUCUAGGAGUUACGCCCCUUUGAACUUAUUUGCUUCAAUGUACUUCUGCAACAGUUUGUCAUCUCAACUCCUCUGAAACCACACAACAGAAUUUCAUGAAAUUUUGUAGAUAAUAAGGACAUACUAUGUUGAUGUGCAUAUUGACAGGAAAUUAUUAUUCAAUAUUUUUUCUUAUACAAUUUUUUUUUCUUACACUUAUUUAAUUUCUCCAAUGACAAUGUGGGGACGUGGGGUAUGUGAGCGUGCUCACUAAGGUUCUUUAAUUACUUAU
rnacentral:lncRNA from 1 species